rnacentral:rRNA from 1 species
CUUAUUAUUAAAGAAUUUCGGUUAUCGAUGGGGAUGCGUUCCAUUAGGCAGUUGGUGAGGUAACGGCUCACCAAACCUUCGAUGGAUAGGGGUUCUGAGAGGAAGGUCCCCCACAUUGGAACUGAGACACGGUCCAAACUCCUACGGGAGGCAGCAGUGAGGAAUAUUGGUCAAUGGGCGCAGGCCUGAACCAGCCAAGUAGCGUGAAGGAUGACUGCCCUAUGGGUUGUAAACUUCUUUUAUAUGGGAAUAAAGUUUUCCACGUGUGGAAUUUUGUAUGUACCAUAUGAAUAAGGAUCGGCUAACUCCGUGCCAGCAGCCGCGGUAAUACGGAGGAUCCGAGCGUUAUCCGGAUUUAUUGGGUUUAAAGGGAGCGUAGGUGGACAGUUAAGUCAGUUGUGAAAGUUUGCGGCUCAACCGUAAAAUUGCAGUUGAUACUGGCUGUCUUGAGUACAGUAGAGGUGGGCGGAAUUCGUGGUGUAGCGGUGAAAUGCUUAGAUAUCACGAAGAACUCCGAUUGCGAAGGCAGCUCACUGGACUGCAACUGACACUGAUGCUCGAAAGUGUGGGUAUCAAACAGGAUUAGAUACCCUGGUAGUCCACACAGUAAACGAUGAAUACUCGCUGUUUGCGAUAUACAGUAAGCGGCCAAGCGAAAGCAUUAAGUAUUCCACCUGGGGAGUACGCCGGCAACGGUGAAACUCAAAGGAAUUGACGGGGGCCCGCACAAGCGGAGGAACAUGUGGUUUAAUUCGAUGAUACGCGAGGAACCUUACCCGGGCUUAAAUUGCAUUUGAAUAAUUUGGAAACAGUAUAGCCGCAAGGCAAAUGUGAAGGUGCUGCAUGGUUGUCGUCAGCUCGUGCCGUGAGGUGUCGGCUUAAGUGCCAUAACGAGCGCAACCCUUAUCUUUAGUUACUAACAGGUCAUGCUGAGGACUCUAGAGAGACUGCCGUCGUAAGAUGUGAGGAAGGUGGGGAUGACGUCAAAUCAGCACGGCCCUUACGUCCGGGGCUACACACGUGUUACAAUGGGGGGUACAGAAGGCAGCUACCUGGUGACAGGAUGCUAAUCCCAAAAGCCUCUCUCAGUUCGGAUCGAAGUCUGCAACCCGACUUCGUGAAGCUGGAUUCGCUAGUAAUCGCGCAUCAGCCAUGGCGCGUUGAAUCACGUUCCCGGGCCCCUU